UACGUAGGGGGCAAACGUUGUCCGGAAUCAUUGGGCGUAAAGCGCGUGUAGGCGGCCAGAAAAGUCCGCUGUGAAAACUCGAGGCUCAACUUCGAGCUGUCGGUGGAAACUUUCUGGCUAGAGUCCGGAAGAGGAGAAUGGAAUUCCUGGUGUAGCGGUGAAAUGCGCAGAUAUCAGGAAGAACACCCGUGGCGAAGGCGGUUCUCUGGGACGGUACUGACGCUGAGGUGCGAAAGCGUGGGGAGCAAACAGG
rnacentral:rRNA from 1 species